ACCCACAGGCGUGACGAAGCUUUCAUCACCAGCGGAAAGUCAGAGAUCCGAUUCACUCCUACACCCAGAGCAGAACGUCUGCCGGCUUUUCUGCUUCCAGCAUCAAACGAACAUUUACUUCCCUGGAGUUUACCUCUCACAGUUUCCUGCUACAGAAUCCGACUCUUAGCAAAAACCUCAAAGAUACUUUCAAAACCAAUCAAACUAAAAACAGAAGUGAGCCUCAAGGUCUGUUUUGGUCCUUGUUGUGUUGCUUUAAAUCUACAGAAACACAACAGCAGCAGAAAACCGCAAACGCCGCAGAGCAGAGCUCAGGAGUUUCUGCUUCCUCUGCGACAUGUUCACUCCGACACAAACAUCGAGCUGACAGGAAGCCGCCGCGGCCCGGUGCUGCGAGGUGAAGUACUUUUCAAGAACAAAACACAUGCGCUCAUGUUUCUGACGUUUCCUCAACCCAAACAUCCUGCAGAACUCCCCAAACAAACAGCAUUUCCUGCACAAAGUGCUCUGAAGUACCGUGAAGUACUGGGCCUUCAGGUGGAUGUUCAAGGCUGGAUGUCUGGACGUUUCCAGAUCGUUUCCAGAUCGUUUGGAGGAGAACCCAGCCACACAUUUAAAGCUCAUUUCAAGCGAACAUGAACUAGAUUUUACUUCCUUUUCUCUCCUACAAGCUGUGCAGCAAACACCAUCCUGCUACUUCUGCUUGCUGCCGCCGUGUUGCGGCUCCGGGCCACUGACCUGGUUCUGAAGCCAGAACCCUUUCAGGAGGAAUAAACUGGUUUCUGAUGAGAUUCUUGUUUUUAUUCUGCUUGGAGUACUUCCUGGUCACGAAUAAGAGAACAUGCUGUAGUAAAUCAGACCAUUUCUGUAGUGCAUGACGAUCUUAACAACGAGGAAAAGAAAAACUCAGAAACAGGAAGGACAAAUAAACGUGAUGCUCCUGGAAACCAGGAAGUUCUGCUCCUGCAAUCGGACCUUCUCCAGCUGCGUCUGCAGGUUGGUGAACAGAACCGAAGCCAUCGACUCGUCGUUGACCGCAGAAUCCCUGAAAACGGCCAGAAGAGCAGCGAGAUUUACACACGAGACGCUGCAGCGACAUGACAGAGAUUCAUCUGAUGAUUUAAAUCAUGUUGCAACACUUUGACCCCAGAACAGCAAAAAUCCAACUUCUAACUGAUCAAAGUCAUAAUCACUGUGAAUGUCCGAAACCGAUGGUUUCAUCGGGUCAUAAAGAUUCUCCAGAAGGCGUUGAGAGAUCUUAUCUGGUCCUGGAUGUUUCCUUCAGUCUAAACACGAUGUCUGGUUACUCAGAGGAAGCGUUUCUGUGCCAGGUGGGAUCCCACAGGGCUCAGUGUUGGAGCCACUGAUUCUUUCCCUGCGUUUGUUCCUCUAAAUUCCACUUCUAUGCUGACGACUGUCGGGUUUAUUGGCCAUUAAAGCAGAACAUAGCAGCAGAUAAUUCAAUAUUUCAGUAAAAUCUUUCAAAUGCAGAAAGAAAACCUUUAUAGACCAGAGCUUUCCGGUGGCUGUGUUUAAAAAAAACAACAAAAAAAACGUUAGUUGGUGAAAUAUUCAAGAUGGUGGCCAUUUUUAAAGAUGGAUGUCAAGGAAAAUUCCUUCCUGCACUAAAACUGUAAGGAUUUAUCUCAGAUUAAUGCUCUUGGUUUCAAGUAAUUGACACCGAAAUCAUAUUUACUGAUCAUGAUUCAAGAUGGCCGCUGUAUUUGUCAUGGAAGAUUGAUAUUUGCUCAAAAAUCAUCAAUUAGGUGAAUGAGUUUGGUGUCUAAUCAUAUUUUUAACCAUAGAAAUUGCAUAUUUUUUCUUGAUAUUGUGUUUUCAAAAUGGCCGCCAAUGUUGUAACAGAGAAUAUAUGUUCACACUGAAAUCAGCAGCAGUCAUUGCCAGUGGUGGCACAGCUAGCCAAAAAGUAAAAUUCGUUAGCAUUAAACAAGAAUCGUAGCUACGCUACCGCUAUACCUAUAAACCUAUAAACACAUGAAAAUUUAGCAGAAACUAUUGCUAACCUGCUGAAUACAUAUUUGUGUAUUAGCAGACGCUGCCACUAAACCAGCUGCUGCAGCAGCUGCGGCUCAUUGAACAAGCUGGUGAACAGACAGGAAGUGAUGUCGAUGAGGUUGUAAACAAGCUUCAGGAAGUAAUCUGAUUACUCUGAUAAACCAGUAAUCCUACUGUUUUAAAAAAUAAAAAUAAAACAUACUAAAAGGACAUCAAAUACAAAUCAAUACAUAAUGGAAAGAAAACAGCAGUGAAUGUCAUUAUUGACCGACAGACACUAAGAACAUUGACGGUCCAAAUCCCUCCGAGUCCCGAGGUAAAAAGAGAAACUGGUGAAGCAACAAAGCAGAGCUUCUACCUGAUACUGUAAAUAUAACUGUAACUGUUAUUGUUAAAUUAUCACAAAACCUGAAACCACAGCUCUUAAUAUAUCAAAGUGAAAGUUUGAUUUAGUUUCAGAUUAAGUAAAAGUUAUUUCUAAUAUUUAGUUAAGUUCAAAUAAAAGCUGCAGGAACAAAUUGGUUGGUUUUGUUUCUUAUUUUGUUUUUUUCUUUUUAUAAAACACAGAUUAGCAUUAUUAUUUAUCAAGUUUUCUUCAGACUUUAAAUAAUUUCCCUUGUUUUGGUUCAACAUCUGAUCAUUUUCUGACCCCAUUAAAGUAAACUGUGAAUGAAUCAGUUUGAGGAAAAAGAUUCAUAUUUAAAAUGGGAAUCUCUGUUUUUAUUGUUUUAUCUUCCAUAACUUUAUCUAUCUUUGUCUUCAUAUUGAACAAAGAAACAGAAAGAAUCUGUUUUAGUCAAAGUCUGCCGGUAACAAAGAGAGAAUGAAGAUUUUACUAAAGACGACGUUGUUUUCAAACUAUUCAAACAGAUAUAAACAGUUUGAAUCUGAAGUGUAUUUUAAUUAAGGAGGAUCAUGAAUGUUUUACAGAAUGUUUUAUUAAAUGUGACCGCAGGUUUUGCUGUCAGGUCAAAUCAGAACAGAAGGAAACGUUUUACUGUAAAAUGUUUCUGUGUUUCUGGAGGACCAGCUGUUCCAACAGCAGGAAUUAAAACUCGGCUUAAUUCCA